rnacentral:rRNA from 1 species
AACGAACGCUGGCGGCAUGCCUAACACAUGCAAGUCGAACGAGACCUUCGGGUCUAGUGGCGCACGGGUGCGUAACGCGUUGGAACCUGCCCUUAGGUUCGGAAUAACUCCCCGAAAGGGGUGCUAAUACCGGAUAAUGUCUUCGGACCAAAGAUUUAUCGCCUUUGGAUGGGCCCGCGUUGGAUUAGCUAGUUGGUAGGGUAAAAGCCUACCAAGGCGACGAUCCAUAGCUGGUCUGAGAGGAUGAUCAGCCACACUGGGACUGAGACACGGCCCAGACUCCUACGGGAGGCAGCAGUGGGGAAUAUUGGCCAAUGGGCGAAAGCCUGAUCCAGCAAUGCCGCGUGAGUGAUGAAGGCCUUAGGGUUGUAAAGCUCUUUUACCCGGGAUGAUAAUGACAGUACCGGGAGAAUAAGCUCCGGCUAACUCCGUG